UACGUAGGGGGCGAGCGUUGUCCGGAGUUACUGGGCGUAAGGCGCACGCAGGCGGUCUGCUAAGUUUGGAGUGACAGUUGGUGGCUUAACUGCCAAAGUGCUUCGAAAACUGACAGACUUGAGGGCUUCAGAGGGACACGGAAUUCCGGGUGGAGUGGUGAAAUGCGUAGAGAUCCGGAGGAACACCAAAGGCGAAGGCAGUGUCCUGGGGGGUACCUGACGCUCAGGUGCGAAAGCCAGGGGAGCGAACGGG
rnacentral:rRNA from 1 species